CCUACGGGUGGCAGCAGUGAGGAAUAUUGGUCAAUGGGCUUACGCCUGAACCAGCCAAGUCGCGUGAGGGAAGACUGCCCUAUGGGUUGUAAACCUCUUUUGUCAGGGAGCAACGCCGGCUACGUGUAGCCGGACUGAGAGUACCUGAAUAAAAAGCAUCGGCUAACUCCGUGCCAGCAGCCGCGGUAAUACGGAGGAUGCGAGUGUUAUCCGGAUUUAUUGGGUUUAAAGGGUGCGUAGGCGGAAUGCCAAGUCAGCGGUAAAAUCGAGGGGCUCAACCUCGCUCCGCCGUUGAAACUGGCGUUGUUGAGUGGGCGAGAAGUAUGCGGAAUGCGUGGUGUAGCGGUGAAAUGCGUAGAUAUCGAGAGGAACACUCGUGGCGAAGGCGGGUUCCUGGACAUUAACUGACGCUGAGGCACGAAGGCCAGGGGAGCGAAAGGGAUUAGAUACCCCAGUAGUC
rnacentral:rRNA from 1 species